GUUUGCAUCUGUCAUUUGUCCACAACCUCCUCUCUUUCACCAUCUGGAUUGAACUGAGUUUUCUCAAGUUUGACACCAUGGGAAUGUGUGAGGUACUUGCACAGUUGUAUGACACAUUUCAUACCUAUGCUAAACAAGACGGAGACUGUGAGACACUAACCAAAGGAGAAUUGUCUAAAUUACUCGCCACGGAGUUCGGGUCAGGUCUAUCAGCUUGCAAGGAUGCUGAGGAUACGCUGACAAUGUUGGACCAAGACAAAGAUUCUUGUGUUGAUUUCAAGGAGUUCCUUUCUCUUGUGGGAAUGGUGUUUUUGUUCAUGAGUUGUUCAGAACCAGUAUCACAGUGAUCAUGUACAGAUUCUUGUUCAAGAUUCAUGGAUCUACCAUGCACUGACUUUGAAGUACAUAAUGUCAGUGACUCUAUAAACCACAAUAAAUGCUUCCAAAAAUCUUA